AUGGGGGUACCUCUGGUCCUGACGGUGGCAGAGAUAGCCGCUCAGGGCUUCGACAUCGGCGUCGACAUCCUGCUGACAACCGUGGAGGAGGAGGAUGUGGAUCCGGACGCCGAAGCAGAGUUCGACGCGAUGAUUCUGGCCAACAACCUCCGAUUUGCUCAACAGUUACGCCAGGAUGAGAAUGUUCACACCAAUCAACCCAACCCUGAGAAUGAUAUACUUUACCUGGAUCUGGCUCUUCAUUGUAUCAGGGAAUUCAUAAUGAUACAUUACAUGGAUCUUCCAUAUCCCAGGUACCCCCUGCUGAUACCUUCCAGCCUGAACAUGAAAAUGAGGUAA
rnacentral:rRNA from 1 species